rnacentral:rRNA from 1 species
GAUGAACGCUAGCGGCAGGCCUAAUACAUGCAAGUCGAACGGGUGGUCGCAAGACCACUAGUGGCGCACGGGUGCGUAACGCGUAACCAACCUGCCCCGAUCUGGGGGAUAGCCCGCCGAAAGGCGGAUUAAUACCGCAUAUACCCGCAGCCUGGCAUCAGGCAACGGGGAAAGAUUUAUUGGAUCGGGAUGGGGUUGCGUGACAUUAGCUAGUUGGCGGGGUAAGGGCCCACCACGGCGACGAUGUCUAGGGGACCUGAGAGGGUGAUCCCCCACACUGGCACUGAGAUCCGGGCCAGACUCCUACGGGAGGCAGCAGUAGGGACUAUUGGGCAAUGGGCGAGAGCCUGACCCAGCCAUGCCGCGUGCCGGAUGAAGGCCUUCUGGGUUGUAAACGGCUUUUCUCAGGGAAGAAAAAGACCUUGCGAGGUACACUGACGGUACCUGAGGAAUAAGCACCGGCUAACUCCGUG